ensembl:snoRNA
GUCCAGUGAUGAGCCUGCCAUGCUAAUACCGAUACAUCAGGCAGACAGUGUGUCUCUCUGGGUGUACAUGAGUUCAACUCAACUUCUUGCACACAGUGCUCUGAGGACA